UGAGGAGAACAGAGGUCAUGCCAGGGAGGUGUCAUUUGCAGUUGGAUGGGUAGCCCUAAUGUAUGCUAACGUUCUGGAAAGCCUCAUGUGAUCUCCAUGAGCACUUAUGACUGAUCAAAAACUGGAGAAAUCAAGAUGGAUAUCUAAGCCAGACAUCUCUGUACAAUCUGCAUGGCAGAAUACCAGUCAAGGUGAGGAAAUAUGCUUAUUGCAUAAUUUGGGAGAUCUGUCCCUUUAAUCACACAGUACAGGUACAAAACGGACACAAGCAACAGU